rnacentral:rRNA from 1 species
UACGUAGGGUGCAAGCGUUAAUCGGAAUUACUGGGCGUAAAGCGUGCGCAGGCGGUGAUGUAAGACAGUUGUGAAAUCCCCGGGCUCAACCUGGGAACUGCAUCUGUGACUGCAUCGCUGGAGUGCGGCAGAGGGGGAUGGAAUUCCGCGUGUAGCAGUGAAAUGCGUAGAUACGCGGAGGAACACCGAUGGCGAAGGCAGCCCCCUGGGCUAACACUGACGCUCAGGCACGAAAGCGUAGGGG